rnacentral:lncRNA from 1 species
CUUUCUUUUCUUUUCGUUUCAUUCUCUUUUUCAGAGAUCUGUGGGAAAGGAAAGCACCUGAGCAAGAUCAGAGGGGUUUCUUAGGUUCCGAUUGGGGUUUUCUCUCAAGCAUAUGGGAUUUUGUGCGGGUUGUGGCGAUGUGAGUUGGUCCCUUGAGUUUUUGAGAGCUUAAUCUUGGUAGAAUCAUGAUAUUUUCUGGGGUUUGUGGGAUUUUUGAUCUAAAGGAUUCUUCUUUGGCUCCAAAAUUUUCAAUUUAUGGAGUUCUGUUCUCCUGAUCAUAUGCAUAUGAUACCAAAUCCAUGAUGUGAGACUUGCACUAGGCUAAGUUCCACCUUUCUGAAUUGUCAUGUGGAUGCAUGAACAAGGCCUUUCUCAUACUAUUCAACUCUAAGGUCCAAAUGCACGUCAUCGUAGCUUUGCACCGGCCACCAUAGAACGAGAUUGAUAGAGACUCAAGGCUCAUGGUUUAACAUGCCCUUUUCCUUACUUCCUGAACAUUAGCUUUGUGAGAUAAGAGGUGGUCUAAUUGUUUUAAAAGGUUGGGUAGGAAUCAUGCUCUGAAUCAGAGAAACCAAUAUUUGAUUGAGAUGGCUGGUGUAAUUUUAACUUGUACUUAGUUUAAAAAAAACAAUUUCUUCACUUCUUUUUGAUGUAUAUAUCAGUCAUUACAAAUGGGCAUCAAAGAAAACAAAGUGGUACUUUUCUAAAUUCUGUGUUAUUAAUGGUUAGCAGUAGCUAUGGACAUCAAAAUCUGUAGGUGUGGCUUUAAUAAAUUGACAUCACAAAAUCAGCAUAGCAUGUUAGUAAUCAUUUUAUUUAUUUAUUUAUGUUAUUCUAUGUUUUAGGUUAAAAUCUUGUGGAACUGGAACACAAUUUGCUAUGGAAUGAUUUCCAAAAUAACAGUGUCUUUCAACUAUCUUUUGAUCUUAAUUUUCACACAGAAGAGACUUGAAUACUGAAAAAAGGGUAUUUCUUAUCAUUUUGGGUGGCAGUGAAAUUGAACCUUUUUUUUGGAACAAAAACGAAAAGCUAAAUAUCAAUGUAACAAAACCCUGCAAAAAAAAUGUAAAAAACUCUAAAGUUACUUCAUAUUUGCAUAACUUUAUCAUAGAAAAAUCAUAAACAUAACAAAAUUUCAGAAAAACAGAAUAGAGAUAAACAGAAUACUUAUCUUAGAAGAUGAAAGGGAUGUGAACAAGCAAGUAGAGGCUCAGAUUCGCCUUUCAUCCAUCCUCCCUCCUGAACUAUUUCUCAAAAGACUCAUUUCAGCAGCGGUUGUCUGUAGACCAACAGACCAUCCAAGCUGCCAAGCAAUGGUUACCAAAAAGGAAAAGAAAAAGAAAAAAAAAAACAACUGGAGGGGUCUGAAGAGCUUUCAUCAUCCUUGCCUCCACAAACACAGAGAGGGGUUCAGAUUGUAUCUUUUGUGUGAAAGAAGGAUUCACGCAUGCACGCAUGCAUGCACAGGAGGGGUCUAAAGAGCUUUCAUCACACACACACACACACAGAUACAUGAGGGGUCUAAAGGGCUUUCAUCAUCACUGCCAACAUGCACACACGCACACGCGCACACAAAGACAGACAUACAAGAGGGGUCUAAAGAGCUUUCAUCAUCACUGCCCGUGCAUGCAUGCACACACACAUACAGGAGGGGUCUAAAGAGCUUUCAUCCAUCACUGCCCGCGCACAGGCGCGCGCGCACACAUACACAUACAAACAUAGAUACAUACAUACAUACAUACAGGAGGGGUCUAAAGAGCUUUCAUCAUCACUGCCCGAACACAGACACACACACACACACACACAUACAUACAGGAGGGGUCUAAAGAGCUUUCAUCAUCACUGCCCGAACACAGACAGAGAAGGAUUAGGGUUUUAUCUUUCGCAUGAAAGAAGGAUUCACCUACCUUGGAGUAAAUCCACCAUUGGAUCACCCACCAUGAAGAUCUCAAAGCAAGCAAUGGAUGAUUCAACAGCCCCCGGCCGUAGGGGUGAAAGUCGAUUGGAUAAUAUCCAUCCAAAGCCGUUUUCACGAAUCUAUCUGGAUAUGGAUGUAAAUUAGGGCACCUGACUAAUAUUUGUAUCCAUAUCUAUAUCCAUCAAAGAAAAACAGAUAUUGAUAUGGACUAUCAAAUCCAUAUCCAAAUAUCCAAUUCUAUCUAUAACCUUAUUUAAUUUUAUAUAGCACUCAUGAACUUUCAAGAAAAAUAUAUAACCACAUUAACAUGCUAUUAAUUUGAUUUAUUAUCCACUUAGUAAUGACAUUGAUUCUAUAGUUAUAAGGCUUAAUUAUUCAACUUAUAUCCAAAUUUAUAUCCACACUUUUCAUAUCCAAUUUGUAUAUAUAUCCAUCUAAAAGAAAUAUAGGAAUGAAUUUGUUGCAUCCGACUAACAUCUGUAUCCAUAUUUGUAUUCAUCAAAUAAAAAAAAUAUGGAUAUGGAUAUACUGAUAUUCAAUCCAUAUCUCAUCCAGUUCAGCCCUAGAUGGGUGCGAAGGAAUAAGCAACAAAAAGUGGGGCAGCUCGGGGGUUCUGGGUUGUAUCUUUUAUGCGAAAGAAUGAUUGAUUUUUUUUUUUUGCGACAUCAAGAUAGAUCUCAAAGCACUUCAAACUCUCUUUUUUGCCCAAAAGAUACAACCCGAACCCACUCAAGGGGCACCAACCAAGCCACAGACCCUAUGUUUAUUUCUCAGGCUUUUGUACCUCAACAAACUAUUAGAGUUAGGCAUUUCAUCCAAUGAUGAGAAUGCAUACUAUGCUCUUGAUAGAUAGAUUGAUGAUCCAUUGAGUUUGACUGGCUGAUGGUUGUGAUACAGCAAAAGUAAAAGAGCUAGCGAGUAUGAGAGGGAAAGUAGAAAGGGAAGGAGCAUUGUGAGGGUAACCCAAGUGGAGUUUGCUAAAAGAGUGACGCCAUGCGGCUCCCAUAAAAUACAAAUGAACAAUCCCGUCGCAACUGGUUGCCUCUUGAUCAACAGGCCAUCCAAGUUGCAACUUGCAUUUUCAGGAAUGUUCUUUCUUUGGUUGAGUAUUUGAAGGAAAAUAGCCUCUGUUAAACAACAUGUAUUAAGCAAUUUACUAGAAAAUAAUAUCAAAAACCACCAUACAAACAUGAUAAACAGAGUAAACUAAAUAAAGAAGAAAACAUCUAACCUCUUGAAAAAGAGCUCUCUCAUUGUACCAUGGAAAAGAACCACACCCGAAAUAUUAAGCAAAAAUUUCUUGUCACAGGGAGGAAGAGCAGAAAGGAAGAGCAGGAAGAGCAGAAGAUUUCUAUUAACUCAGCCUUUUCCCCCAUUUAGAGCAAAAUCCCUUUUUUAACUUAAAACAUAAAAUUAUCAUCGAUAUGAAAUUAUAAACUUUCCAUAAAUAAUUAUGGACCAAUAUCAACAGUUAUAUUUGAGAAAAGAACAGACUUUAUAAAUUGCGAAAAGAGAAACGUGCCAUCGAGACCUAGUAUUUGUCUUUCUUUUUUCCUAAUUUGGAACGGGUAGAGCUUCAAAAUCAAGAGAAAGGCAGCUCUUUUCAAAUACACCAUUAUAACUUACAAUACCCGACAUGUCCCAUCAUCGAUGUCAGGUCUCAUUGACCAUGCAUCUCGUCUCCAACGGAUAUAUACUUGCCAAUCUCGACCAUCCUAAUCUUUGAUGAAUUGGAUAUGCUACAUAGACACAAGAACCAUAUAAAUAUGGUUCAUUUUUGAGUUGUUUUAAACAUGGUUAAUGAAACUUCAUAUUUAAUCAGAAUUAGCUUUCUUUCCUUAGUUUUAAUCUUUUUAUUUUCUAAAAUUCUAUAGAUCGCAUUAUUGCCAUAUUUUUACUAUUAAAAUACAUGGAUGAAUACUUUGUUGUUGAAAUUUCUUGUUUUUAUGUACUAUAAUACUAUUGCUUGUCAUGAAUUGAUAAAUGCUUUUUGUUCAAGAUAACUUGCAAUCUGAAAUUUUCACGAAUAAUAAGAUUUCUUUUAAUGAACCAAAAAAUAUUUUUAUUGCUAUUUGAGUGGUAGCAGAAAUGAAAAUUUUCUUGAAAGAUAAGAAAAAAGCAACACCCUGAUUAAAUAAAAAGCAUUAGGUUCAGAGUCCGAAUAGGAACAAAAUACUAGUAUCUCAGGCACUGAUCUUAUAAUGUUAUAAUGAGCACACACCCUCUUACCAAAGAGCUUCUUAAGAGUCCUGGCCAUCCAUUUCCAGACUACUUGUCGAACUGAAUACGGAAAGAAAGAUGCACCGGCACCAUAUCAAUUAAGUUUAGGAUUUGCAAAAAUUCAGCUUAAUUAGACUAAAGUUUCUUUUCCUGUUUUAUCUUUUCUUUAUGUUGUUUUAAAACAUUCACUUCACCUGUUGCCACAUUGUAUCUUUCAUGAAUAGUACCUCAAAGACUACUUUCCCAUUGACAUUUGUUAUGGCAUGAUUUCUAAGGUUCUCUUUCAACCAUUUUGUUAUCUUAAAUUGUUAGAAAGUAAAAGACUUCUAUACUCAAAAAAAGAAUUUAAUGCCAAUUGGAAUGUAGAGGCAAUUCCAAGAAAAAUAAAGAAGACAAAUAUCAUUGUGACAAAACCCUACAAAAACAUUAUAAACUCCUUGAUGAAAAAAACUUCAACAGAUCACUCCCGAUUUGAAUGAUUUCAAAACAAAAAUAUCAUCAAGAAAAGAAUCAUUUCAGGAAUAAUGAACAGAAUAAUAAAGAGGGUGCUGAUCUCAGAACAUAAAAAGCAUACGGACAAGUGAGAGAGGCUCAUAUUUACCUUUGAUCCGUCAUCCCACUUCUGCAUUCUUUGUUAACAAAUGGCUGUAGAGGUUGUCUGUCGAGUGGCAGACCAUACAAGCAACCUCACAAUAGUCACAAAAGAAAAAUAAGGGAGGAAUGUAAAAGAGCUUCAUCAUCACUGCCUCCAGACAAAAGAUAGAGCAAGACAUACAUAGAGAGAGAGGUAUGAGGUUUAAGAGCCGAGUUCGGAUGAUCUCCAGUUCAUUAACUGGUAGACAACCAUCACUAUCGAGGGAACUAUAUAGAAUUUUAGUUCAGCUUAUAACAAAGAGGGGACAACUCAGGGAAGCACCAAAUCACCAACCCUAAUGUAUCUCUCUGGAGCUUUCAUACCUCAACAAAUGACAUAGGGGCUGCAAAAGGGUUGGGUCGACUUGGGAUCCAACUUCAACAUCAAGAAAAAGAUGAAACAGAAACCAAAAAACUACAAAUCAUUUCAGAUAAAUAUUUUGAACAUUGAAAAAUUUAAAAACAGUGAAAAUUUGAAAAAGUAGUGGAAAAGUGAACAAGGGCUUAGUUCUGAAAAAUGAAAGAGCGGGGGAAGAUGAGGCUCAGAUUCACUUUUGGUCUGUCAGAUAUUGCACUCACAUCACUUUUUUGAAUGCAUGGCUAGCAGUGGUUAUCUGCAAAGCAGCAGACCAUCCAAGCUGGCUGCCACCAUUGUAAAUGAGCAUUGCUGCAAACUGGGGGAAACCCAAUGGAAAAAAAUCAACGAACACAAAGGAUAGACAGAAAAAAUUGAAAGGUAUGACCUUUUCCUACAUAGAUUGAUCAUUCUUUUUUCUUGUUGCUUCAUUUCUUUUCAUUUCAUUCUCUUUGUCAGAGAUCUGCGAGGAAGGAGAGCAUCUGAAGGACAUCAGAGGGGAUUUCAUAGGUUCUGAUUGGGCUUUUUUCUCGAGCAUAUCGGAUUUUGUGUGAGUUGUCGUGGUGUGAGUUGGUCCCUUGAGGUUUUGAGAGCUUAAUCUUGGUAGAGGCAUGAUAUUUUGUUGGGUUUGGGCUAUGUCUGAUAGAAAGGAUUAUUCUUUGGCUCCAAAAUUUUCAAUUUAUGGAGUUCUGUUCUCAUGAUAAUAUGAAUAUGAUACCAAAUCCAUGGUGUGAUACUUGCACUAGGCUAAGUUCCACCUUUCUGAACUGUCAUGUGGAUGCAUGAAUAAGGCCUUUCUCAUGCUAUUCAACUCCAAGGUUUCAUCAUCAUUGCCUCGAGAAGAGAGAGCAAGACAAAGAUAUGAAUGCAUUUAAACGUAAUGUCAAAAAUAAGAUACCUAGGAGACUAGUUCCCUGUUGAGAUUUGCUAUGGCAUGAUUUCCAAAAUAACAUUGUCUUUCAACCAUCUUUUGAUCUUAAUUUUCCCAGAGAGAAGACUUGUAUACUGACAAAAGGGUUUUGGAUGGCAUCACGGCAGUGAAACCGAACUUUUUUUUCAAAGAACAAAAAAGAAUAGCUAAACAUCAAUGUAACAAAAUCCGGUAAAAAAAAUGUAAAAAAGUCUAAAGAAGUUACUCCAUAUUUGCAUGACUCUAUCAUAGAAAAAUCAUAAACGUAACAAAAUUUCGUAAAAAACAGAAUAGAGAAAUAAACAGGAUACUUAUCUUAGAAGAUGAAAAGGUUGGGAACAAGCAAAUAGAGGCUCAGACUCGCCUUUGAUCCAUCUUUCCUCCUCCUGCACUAUUCCUCAAACAAAUCAUUCCAGUGGUUGUCCGUAUACCAAAGAGGAGAGGUAUUUUCGCCGUUCAAAAUUUCAAUUGAAAAAAAAUGCACGUUGGAAAGUGGUGGCUACGUGGACCAAUCGGGCAAGGCAGUGCACUCCACGUCAGAUUUUCUACACCGCCGGCGGUGCACAAAGAUUUUUUUUUUUUUUAACUGGAUAGGGAGAGUUCAGAACCCACAACAGCAUCCUCUUCGAUGCCUCCCUCCACCGUUGCCAUUGACGGCCGUUCCGUCUUCGCCAAGCUCACUAUGGUCAAGGGCAUCGGCGUCUCGUCCGCCCACAUGUUCAUGAUCUUCUCUCUCCACCGCCCUCUUCCCGAUGUGCUCCCCGUCGAGGAGGGGGAUGGGGAAGCUACGGGAAGAACGGGAGCAAUAUUUGACAUUUGGCGGCCUGGGAGAGCUGUGGACUCUUCUUAAUGUAGUGUAUGUAGAUAUAGACUCGUAUUUCAUAGAGUUUUGACUUGUAUAUUGAAAAAAGGGUUUUGGAAGGCAUCAUGGCAGUGAAAUGGAAUUUUUUCUAAGAACAAAAAAGAAUAGAGAAAUCACAGAUGUAACAAAAUUUUGAAAAAAAAACAGAAUAGAGAAACAAACAGGAUACUUAUCUUAGAAGAUGAAAAGGUUGGAACAAGCAAGUAGAGGCUCAGACUCGCCUUUGAUCCAUCUUCCCUCCUCCUGCACUAUUCCUCAAACGAAUCAUUGCAGCAACGGUUGUCUGCAGACCAGCAGACCAUCCAAGCAGCCAAGCAAUGGUUAUCAAAAAGAAGGAAAAAACACCGGAGGGGUCUGAAGAGCUUUCAUCAUCAUUGCCUCCACAAACACCAGAGAGGGUUCCGGUUGUAUCUUUCGUGUGAAAGAAGGAUUCCCCUUCCUCCACGCGAAUCCACCAACGGAUCACCGCACAGAACUCAAACCACUCCGACCUCCAUCAUCCAUCCGUCUGAACAGCACUCAAAGCGAGAAGUGAAAGAUCCAACGGCCACCGGGGACAUCGUAAAAGGGGGCAGUUCGAGGGAGCACCAAGCAAGCCACCGACCCUACGGACUCGAUUGGUUCGCGGGAAGUGGAGGGGGGCUUUCAUACACAACAAAUAUUAGAGUUUGGCGUUUCUCCGAACGAUGAGAAUGCAUGUGAUGCGCCAGAAAGGACGAUUACUGAUGCGAUUUGAUUGGCCGACGGUUGAGAUGAAGUAAAAGCAAAAGAGAGAUACUGGGCUGAUGAGGAGACGAGAGGGAAGACCGGAAGGGAAGGAGCCAUUCUGGUGGAG